UACGAAGGGGGCGAGCGUUGUUCGGAAUCACUGGGCGUAAAGGGCGCGUAGGCGGCCCUCUUAGUCGCGUGUGAAGGCCCCGGGCUCAACCUGGGAACGGCGCGCGAAACGGGAGGGCUGGAGUUCGGGAGAGGAGAGUGGAAUUCCCAGUGUAGAGGUGAAAUUCGUAGAUAUUGGGAAGAACACCAGUGGCGAAGGCGGCUCACUGGCUCGGUACUGACGCUGAGGUGCGAAAGCGUGGGGAGCAAACAGG
rnacentral:rRNA from 1 species